UCCAACCGGAAAAUUUUCACAUUUUUCCUUGACACGCGAAAGCUCAAUUAUAACCUGCUGGUGAGGCGCACGUGCUGUGCUUGAGACGUUUAACAGGUGUCGAAAUCGCGAAGGUGUACUAAGGUGUAAUAAGUAUUUUUUUUCAGGCAGAGUUCGAGUAGUUGACCCAUUUGAAUAGCGAUACGAAACUCGCGGAAGAAUCAAAUGAGGCGUUAAUCCAUGUGGAAUUUGAUUCUACGUAUAUCGUUGAUACGAAUAUGUAGCAGCGAGAGAAUAGAUAGAUCGUUUUGAUGAAGAGUCGUUCUCGCGAAACUGCGUGUAACAUGAUAUACGUUUUAUUACUAGGUCACGACGGUUGCCAAGAAAGAUGAGACAUUGCUUACCACUGAGACUCCGAGGAAAAUAUCUACUAGAAUCUCCAACCAAAUUAAUCUACCGUUCAUUGUUCUGCACGAAUUUUUAUCUAUUUUUACAAUUCCAUACACGACAAAGAUUACGAACGCGAUAGAAGCAACGAGAAUUUUGUUUCUUCUCUUUCCUAAAUAAAUGGAAGUCGAAGUUAAUAGUGCAGGAUGUCUAUGUUAUCAAUGGUGCCCUCGCUAACUGCAUCGCUGCAUUGCCGACACACCCCAAUAGUUAGUUUGCAUUUGCGUACGCGUUUUUCGUAAAUGUAUUGGUAUAUCAAUACCUACAUACCUAGCGAGCUCGAGACUUUGUUUCUGCGAUUUUUCCUUUGUUAGUUCAGCCGUUUCGCCCACUUUUUCACUCACGACAAUGGCGUGUCAGUCGAUUUUCAACAUAAAGGUACUGUGCGGGCUGUGGUAGAAGACUGUCGAGAGCGAAUUCCGCUCCAUUUGUCAAUGAUUUUAUUACGGUUUUAGUCAUAGGGCGUUAACUUUUACGUUUUGUGAAUUGUUUGAAAUAAAUGAUAAUUAUAAUACAAGAGUGUACAACAACGUAACUGUUCUAGCUCUAGUUAUUGACGUGAUGUAACGCUGAGUGUGACAGAUUCUUUCGAUGUAUGCAUGCACUAAUGUCACUUAUCGGAGACAAAAACACGACAACGAUGACGACUAAUUUGAUAAGUUAGGAGAGUAGCGGUUUUGAAACGAACAACGGUGACGACGUUAUUAUUUCUUUAUUUCUUUUUCAUUUCGUUCUGUUUUCAUUUUCUGACAAAGUGAUCGACCGUGGAAUCGUGAAAUGUUCAAGUAGAUAAAUCUGAUUGAACAUUGUUUAAUUCAUAACAUCAGAAUUAAUUUU